GUGUGUAUGUCUCUCUCUCUCUCUCUCUCUCUCUCUCUCUCUCUCUCUCUCUCUCGUGUGUGUGUGUGUUGGGGAGAGACAGAGAGAGAGAGAGUGAGAGAGUGUCAUGGAUUUG